rnacentral:lncRNA from 1 species
UGAGAAGCAAUCAAAGUUGACACUUCAAAGCAAAUUCAAAAGAAAAAAAAUCCCAUAUAAAUAUUAGUUUCUUAUGAUCAAUAGAUAAAGCAAACUCAUUACAUAGAUAUAUGAUGAUAGAUACGUUAUCAGAAAAUAAAUAUAAGAUGAGGUGGAGAUCAUAAUAGUCAUUGUAAAGAGUAGGGGUUAUUAAGUUGAAAGAAAUAGUCGUGAUGAAUAGUGAAGUCGUCACAUGUGUGCAAAUAUGAUACCUGGUUGUUAAUUAUCAUAUAACUAGGGAGUUGCCAUGCACAGCUUAGUUUGACUGGAAGUUGCAGGAUUCUCCUAGUUUUUUGUAGAUGACUCAUGAACAAGCUGUGGCUUGUGUCUAGCUUAUGGUGGUUAAAAUGUGUAGCUUGGAAAGCUCUGAAACUAAAGAUGCGAAAGAGCUUAGGGUUUAUGUGUAUCAGACUGCGGAAGUUUUGGAGAUGUCUUUGGUUUUGGUUUGAGGGAUAGUAUCAUGUAAUUGAAGGGGGAUUAUUUGUGAAAUAACCAAAAAAAAAAUGAAAUUAGUUUUGUAGAGAGAGAUAAGAAGUAAGGGUGGACACUUCAGCUAUUUUUUGGUUCGGUUUGGGUUCUGUUCGGUUGGUUAGUUUGGUUCUAGUAUUUUUUCAACUGAAGUAAAUCAUAGUUAAUUUGGUUCGGUUUGUGUUUGGUUCGGUUUGUAUUCGGUUCAUUUUGUUUUUUUUGAUCGGUUUAAUUAGGUUCUUCUUAAUUUAAUUUUUUGAAGAAAAAUUAUAUUU